rnacentral:rRNA from 1 species
GACGAACGCUGGCGGCGUGCUUAACACAUGCAAGUCUACGAGAACGAGGUAGCAAUAUCUUUAGUAAAGUGGCGCACGGGUGCGUAACACGUAAGCAAUCUACCUUUGGGUCUGGAAUAACUUCGAGAAAUCGAGGCUAAUACCGGAUAAUGCAGCGGCACCGCAUGGUGAUGUUGUUAAAGUUUGAGUAAUGCCUAUAGAUGAGCUUGCGUCUGAUUAGCUAGUUGGUAGGGUAAAGGCCUACCAAGGCAACGAUCAGUAGCUGGUCUGAGAGGAUGAUCAGCCACACUGGAACUGAGACACGGUCCAGACUCCUACGGGAGGCAGCAGUGAGGAAUAUUGGGCAAUGCCCGCAAGGGUGACCCAGCAACGCCGCGUGGAGGAUGAAGGCCGUAAGGUUGUAAACUCCUGUUAGAGGGGAAGAAUAGUGCCGAUUGGAUCGGUAUUUGACUGUACCCUCAGAGAAAGCCCCGGCUAACUACGUGCCAGCCGCCGCGGUAACAC